CCGGCAGCCCGUCUCAGAAUGUGGUCAAUAUUACAGUCAAUCCUAGCAUUUUCAGACAUUCUGGACGUAUUCCAGGUGUUAGAAUUGGCAUAGGCUACAGGAUGAGACAUUUUUCAGAAUAACCUGUCCCUUUCCUCUCAGGUUAUGAAAAGAUUAUUUAAUUGUAUUAUUAUUCUCCAAAUUGUAAUUUAGGACUCCGCAUGUGCUAGUAGUAGCAUUAAGCCUGUCAGGGACUGCAUGAAUUUAAGUUUUCGUAUUAAUAAAUGAAAUUUUUUUUUUGAGUUUUAAA